CAAGCAUAUUUUCUUUGAAAACUUCUAAAGAGGUUUUGGCUAGAACCCCUUCAGCACCGAAUGAUCCGACACUACUCAAGGGACCAUCGGAGCAUUCACUGGAGCAACUUUUCACUAUUGUAAUGGUCAUAUUUUGGAGAUGUGAGUGAUCGGAUGUUCCGACGCCUUGGGGGAUGGAGACCAUCGGAACAUCCAAUGGUGUGCUUUUCUGCAAGCAGUUUUUUGACGGCUAGCUGCG
rnacentral:lncRNA from 1 species